rnacentral:rRNA from 1 species
UACCAGCACCCCGAGUGGUCGGGAAGAUUAUUGGGCCUAAAGCAUCCGUAGCCGGUUCUACAAGUCUUCCGUUAAAUCCACCUGCUCAACAGAUGGGCUGCGGAGGAUACUAUGGAGCUAGGAGGCGGGAGAGGCAAGCGGUACUUAGUGGGUAGGGGUAAAAUCCGUUGAUCCAUUGAAGACCACCAGUGGCGAAGGCGGCUUGCCAGAACGCACUCGACGGUGAGGGAUGAAAGCUGGGGGAGCAAACCGG